GACUUUCCAAAGCAAUUUUCCAUGAGUAAAGUCUGCUACGCUCCACUUAAUUUCCUUCUUCCAGUCAGUCCAAUAUAUCAUUUUAGUCCCUUUAAAGAUACUCUGGAAUCUUCACAUCCACUCUCGAUGUCAUAGAAUCAAAACGUGCGCUUUGGGUAAGUCAAACACACUAGCAGCAGUUGUACAGAGAACAUAGAAAAUAAUUGUUGCAACCUUUACAAUGUGCAAUCACUGUGUUGAUAUAUCUAUAUUACUAAAUCUCUGUUCUUGACCGCUUUUGGCCUUCUGUGCUGCGAUUUCCGAGAGAAUGCCGCCACCUACGGCCGUCAUUUUUAGCCACCUCGCUCAGAGCCCCCCUCCGCUGCAUGUGUGCCGAGGAUUUUUCCCGUCGAUGAAUAAUGACAGAGAUAUUAAUGUUUUUACAAAAUUCCCCAUUCUCUCUGCUGCCCCCACUGGCGGCAGGGGAGGAGGGAGGGACUAUAAAACCAGGAAGUGGUGUGCCUCAAUUAAUCUCUGCAAGAUGGAGCUCUGUCAAUUAGUCUCUGUCACUCUGAGCUCUGAAUGACACUGAACAAAUAUCUACAGCACUCUCUGGUGAUUCCUGUAUUUGCUGCUCCAGGGAAGUUAGGCACUCCCUCUGGAUUAAGGAUGACUUGAUUCCAUGCUGGAUGUGUGUUAUGGGGCGACUGAUGAGGCCAAUGUGGGAACUGCAGACUCCUCUACAGACAGGACGGGAGGUGAUUGAUAUAACUGCUGAGUAGCAACCUGUUAUUUCUCUUUCAAGGCACCUACUUUAAUUUAGUAACAAAUAAAAUCAUCAAAUCUCUCAUUGGUCAUAACUUAAGAAGUGUCCUACAAGCGGUGAAUAUAAUGGACUUGUUGUAUCAUUGGUUUCACCUACACUUUCAAUAUCUUCAACUAAACUUUUAAAAGGCUACAGAUUCAGUUUCAGUUUCAUCCCUCACAUUUGUGUAAAAAUUCAAUCUAUC